rnacentral:lncRNA from 10 species
CAGGAGGCAUUGAGACAUACCUCUGCACUGAUCACCGAGGUGAUGCAACUCUUGUCUGGGCUCUGCCUACAGGGACAUUGUGACAUAUCUCUGCUCUGAUCACCCAGGUGAUGUAACUCUUGUCUGGGCUCUGCCUACAGGGGUUAUUGUGACAUAUCUUUGCACUGAUCACUCAGGUGAUGGGACUAUUUUCUAUACUCUGCCUAGAGGUGGAUUCGUGACAUAGUCUCUGCACUGAUAACCCAGGUGAUGGAAUUCUUGUCUAGGUUCUGUCUAUGGGGGCAUUGUGUGAAAUAUCUGCACUGAUCACUCAGGUGAUGUAACUCUUGUCUAGGCUCUGUCCACAGGGAUUUUUGUGACAUAUCACUGCACUGAUCACAUAGAUGAUGUAACUCUUGUCUAGGCUCUGCCUACAGAGGAAUUUUGAUGUAACACUGCACUGAUCACCCAGGUGAUGUAACUUUUGUCUAGGCUCUGCCUAUAGGGGGCAUUGUGACAUAUCUCUGCACUGAUCACUCAGGUGAUGUAACUCUUGUCUAGGCUCUGCCUACAGGGGGUAUUGUGACAUAUCUCUGCACUGAUCACCUAAGUGAUGUAACACUUGUGUAGGCUCUGCCUACAGUGGCAUUGUGACAUAUCUCUGCCCUGAUCAACCAGGUGAUGUAACACUUGUCUAGGAUCUGCCUAAAGGGACUUUGUGACAUAACUCUGCACUGAUUAUCCAGGUGAUGUGGCUUUUUUCUAGGCUCUGCCUAUGGGGACAUUGUGACGUGUUUCUGCCCUGAGCACCCAGGUGAUGGACUCUUGUCUUGCGUCUGCCUAUGGGGGCUUUGUGACAUAUCUCUGCACUGAUCACCCAGGUGAUGUAACUGUUGUAUAAGCUCUGCCUACAGGGGAAUUGUGAGAGA